rnacentral:rRNA from 1 species
UACGUAGGGUGCAAGCGUUAAUCGGAAUUACUGGGCGUAAAGCGUGUGUAGGCGGCUUUGCAAGUCGGAUGUGAAAGCCCCGGGCUACAACCCGGGAAGUGCACUCGAUACUGCAGAGCUUGAGUGUCGGAGAGGUUGGUGGAAUUCUCGGUGUAGAGGUGAAAAUUCGUAGAUAUCAGGAGGAACACCGGCGGUGUAGACGGCUUACUGGACCAUAACUGACGCUGAGGCACGAAAGCGUGGGUAGCAAAACAGG